CGCGUCUCUCUCUCUAUCUCCAUCCUUCACACAAAAUGGGAUCAGCCCGAAUCAGAUCGCCUCUCUUUCAUUUUUCUGGAAAUUUUCUUCCCAGUAGUGCUAUUUCUCGCCGCCGCCGCCGCCACCCAACUCAGCCUCGCCCCUCACCGGAUCCCAUCCUCGCUGCUCGCCAGCUACCCUGCGCCGCCUCCUUCUCACAGGUCGAUUCCCCUACAGCCGCCGCACUCCCGCGCCCCCAGUCGCAAACCCUAGGGCUCCCCUGCCGGCCGGCGUCGACGACGAACCAGAAUGCACUUGCUUGGCAUCUGCUCCUUCUCCCCGACCUCCUAUGUGAAAGUAUGCCCCCUCCUCGUUGGUGGUCCGGUCCGGGGACAUGGAGGCCGACCUGCUGCUCACCUCCGACAUCAACGACGACGACAGCCUGCUUCUGGCCCACCCGCCGCUUGCCGGCAUCCUCCUCUUCUCCGACCACCAUGCGCGAUCUGGCCUCCCUGGCUUGGGAUCCAUCGACUCCCUGAUCGACAUGGACAAGCAGCAGUGGCCGAGGCUCCAGCCAGCGCGGGAGAUGGAGGCCCUCGUCCACGGCUCCGAUCCAUCCGCCUCAAGCUCACCCGUAUUCGCUGGGGAUGUCAUUUGAUCCACAUGUACUGCAUAUCAACCAGGGAGCACCGCGGCACGGCAGCUGGACCAUGACGGAGCGAUGUGGCCGCCAACAAGCUCUGGCCCUGGGACCUUGAUGGACCCCGGCGUCCUUGGGGCCUGGACCGUCUGCAAGCGCCACGAGUUCAACCUGAAACCAACCAGGUGAAUUCAGAGAACCAGAUUGAGCAGGAGCAGCUCAUCAGCUGGUGGCAACCACAGUGCCGCUCAUGCUAGCGUUGACACCACGCUGCACACCCUAGUGCUCGGGCCUCUCCGCCGCCUAGACUGACAGCUGGGAGGCGUGCAAAUUACCCCUGCCCCACAGUAGAUGUAGCUGGCCAACAAGCUGCAACCCUGGGACCCUCGCCGGUGCCAUUGAAGUCUGCACCAUCCGCAAGUACAUAUGGGUAUCGUGGAUGUCUCCGCCUCCGGCCGCAUUCCCGUCUCCAAGUCGGCAUCUACCGCCAACCUAGAGUUUGAUGGCAACAGUUGU